rnacentral:rRNA from 1 species
AUUGAACGCUGGCGGCAGGCCUAACACAUGCAAGUCGAGCGAGUGGCGGACGGGUGAGUAAUGUAUGGGGAACUGCCUGAUGGAGGGGGAUAACUACUGGAAACGGUAGCUAAUACCGCAUACUAUCAGAUGAACCCAGAUGGGAUUAGCUUGUUGGUGGGGUAAAGGCUCACCAAGGCGACGAUCCCUAGCUGGUCUGAGAGGGUGACCAGCCACACUGGAACUGAGACACGGCCCAGACUCCUACGGGAGGCAGCAGUGGGGAAUAUUGCACAAUGGGCGCAAGCCUGAUGCAGCCAUGCCGCGUGUAUGAAGAAGGCCUUCGGGUUGUAAAGUACUUUCAGCGGGGAGGCGUUACCCGCAGAAGAAGCACCGGCUAACUCCGUGCCAGCAGCCGCGGUAAUUC